rnacentral:rRNA from 1 species
GAUGAACGCUAGCGGCAGGCUUAACACAUGCAAGUCGAGGGGCAGCGCGAUGUAGCAAUACAUUGGCGGCGACCGGCGCACGGGUGCGUAACACGUAUGGAAUCUGCCCUGUACUGGGAGAUAACUUGGCGAAAGUCGGACUAAUAUCCCAUAAUAGGCGAGGUGGCAUCACCUUGCUUUGAAAGCUCCGGCGGUACAGGAUGACCAUGCGCACGAUUAGCUAGUUGGUGAGGUAACGGCUCACCAAGGCUACGAUCGUUAGGGGGCCUGAGAGGGUUAUCCCCCACACUGGUACUGAGACACGGACCAGACUCCUACGGGAGGCAGCAGUGAGGAAUAUUGCGCAAUGGAGGCAACUCUGACGCAGCCAUGCCGCGUGCAGGAAGAAGGCGCUACGCGUUGUAAACUGCUUUUAACCGGGAAGAAACCCCAGGACGUGUCCUGGGUUGACGGUACCGGAGGAAUAAGCACCGGCUAACUUCGUGCCAG